ACGGCUGAGUAACGCGUGGGUGACGUACCUAUUGGUGGGGAAUAACUGCCCGAAAGGGUGGCUAAUACCGCAUACGUCCACUGCUUCGUGGCAGUGGGGAAAACCGCAAGGUGCCGAUGGAGCGGCCCGCGUUCGAUUAGCUGGUUGGUGGGGUAACGGCCUACCAAGGCGACGAUCGAUAGCUGGUCUCAGAGGAUGAUCAGCCAGACUGGGACUGAGACACGGCCCAG
rnacentral:rRNA from 1 species